rnacentral:rRNA from 1 species
UACGUAGGGGGCAAGCGUUGUCCGGAUUUAUUGGGCGUAAAGAGCGUGUAGGCGGCCAGAUAGGUCCGUUGUGAAAACUCGAGGCUCAACCUCGAGACGCCGAUGGAAACCAUCUGGCUAGAGUCCGGAAGAGGAGAGUGGAAUUCCUGGUGUAGCGGUGAAAUGCGCAGAUAUCAGGAAGAACACCCGUGGCGAAGGCGGGUCUCUGGGCCGAUACUGACGCUGAGGAGCGAAAGCGUGGGGAGCGAACAGG